rnacentral:rRNA from 1 species
ACGACGCUGGCGGCGUGCCUAAUACAUGCAAGUCGAGCGAAUCUUGGGAGCUUGCUACCCAAAAGUUAGCGGCGGACGGGUGAGUAACACGUGGCAACCUGCCUAUAAGACUGGGAUAACUUCGGGAAACCGGAGCUAAUACCGGAUAAUUCUUUUCUACUCAUGUAGGAAAGCUAAAAGACGGUUUACGCUGUCACUUAUAGAUGGGCCCGCGGCGCAUUAGCUAGUUGGUGAGGUAACGGCUCACCAAGGCCACGAUGCGUAGCCGACCUGAGAGGGUGAUCGGCCACACUGGGACUGAGACACGGCCCAGACUCCUACGGGAGGCAGCAGUAGGGAAUCUUCCGCAAUGGACGAAAGUCUGACGGAGCAACGCCGCCGUGAGUGAUGAAGGUUUUCGGAUCGUAAAACUCUGUUGUUAGGGAAGAACAAGUACGAGAGUAACUGCUCGUACCUUGACGGUACCUAACCAGAAAGCCACGGCUAACUACGUGCCAGCCGCCGC